ACCUGCUAGAUGGAUCAAGCUGUGCGAUCAGAGGCAUCAAGAUGGUAAGCUGAAGGACACAUAAUGGUGCAAUGAGAAGAUUGGGAGAGGUUCGAUAUAUAUCCAAUUUCAGAUGAAAUCUUAUCUCAUUAAGCAGAAUAGAUUCAAACGACCACAGAUAGAUAGCUGGUGAUGGAAUCAUGAAGAUUAUGCAUGGCGAUAGGAUGAUAUUGAAGAAAAGAAGAG
rnacentral:lncRNA from 1 species